rfam:Felis catus isolate Cinnamon breed Abyssinian chromosome D1, whole genome shotgun sequence.
GCCUGACUGGCUCAGUUGGUAAAGCAUGAGGCUCUGAAUCUCAGGGUCCUGAGUUCGAGCCCCACAUUGGGUA